AACAGCAGAAGUCGACUCAUGAGUCGACUCAUGCCUUGUGGGUCGACUCAUGAGUCGACUCACAGGUCGUACCAAGCCAAAAAACCAGCGUGCCAAGGGAAAUUUUAGCGUGCCAAUCAGCUCAUUGUGCCAUGAGUUGACUCAUGAGUCGACUCAUGCACUUCAAACAUUCAUAACUUCAAAAAUAUAAGUCCAAAAAUAAUAAAAUUUUCACCAAUAGAUUACAAAUC
rnacentral:lncRNA from 1 species